AUCGGCCUGUUGGAAUUUAAUGGUCAACGGAUGUCAAACAAGUCCUGCAAGUAAGCUAAGCUUCCACAAAUAUCAUCAUUUGUUUAUGAAAAUUUAAGCGUUUUUAUUGAUGACCACGCGUUUCCAUGGUCCUCAUGUUUGAUGACCACGUGUUGAACAAAUCCAGCCAAAAGAUUAGAUCCGAUAGUUAGAAUAAUGGCGGCGGUUAGCGUUUCUUCAAGCUAUUGAUAGCGGCUGUUGUUGUUGCAAUUCGGAGAAGAAUCAACCACUAAUCCAGUUUGUACUUUCGUAUCUUGCUAAGAUGUUUCCUGGUGAAGGUUAGUUUUUGUUUUACAAUGUUCAUCUCUAUGAUGUCAUUAAUACUGAUUGCCAUACUAGAGAUUUUUGUCACUAAAUAGAUUCACAUGUUAGCAAUUGUGUAGACUUUGACUUUAAAGGUCAAUCAAGCUACUUUUUAGAUACAAAUAUGAUAUGAAUUUUGUUAGACAUCAGUUUGUAGUUUGUACUCAUGCAUCCUAGAAUAGGAUCCACAUAAUAUUUUUGUUAGGAUGCAAUCAGAUAGGAGGGUAUAGUGGAUUGGGUAACGGGUCAAACACGGUUGUGUUACAAAAAGUCAUUUUAGAGAAAUAUUUUUGAAAGUUUUUUAGACCAACGAGUUUCGUUCACAAAUUUGGGUAUUGAUUUCGAGUGGAAUAGUUGGUGUCCAAUCAAGAUUAAUUUCUUGGUUUGGAGGCUGAUUCAAGACCGGAUUCCUACUGCGGUCGCUCUUGAAAGAAGAAAUGUUUAUUUGCCUUGCACCCUGUGUAAGCUAUGCAAUGAAGACGAAGAAACGACACUCCAUACAAAUAUGUGUACAAAGAUUUAAAAACAAUAUAAAGCAAGAUUAGCUAUUGAUAUAAAGGAAAGAAAGGAUAUCAAAGUCUUAAAGAUGUCUUACCCAAGCAAAUCAUGCUUUUCAUUGCCAUUAAAUUUAAUGCACUCUAUCCUGAUAUGUAUUUUGUGAGACUGAAAGGGAUCAUAAUAUUGUUGGACUAAUCAUGUUUGUUUUGCAUAUGAAACGAGUUGGUGCAAAAGGAAACUUCGCGUACAAGGGUCUACAAUUCGAAUUUGGUUGAGUCUUUGAGGGUAAACAGCUGGCGGAGUUGCUCGAUGAAGAUCCAUCUUUGGUGUCAAAGAGACAAGAAAUAGCCAAACACUUGAAAUGUAAAAGGCAUCAAACGAUGAGAUCAAUGCAGUA